rnacentral:rRNA from 1 species
UACGAAGGGUGCAAGCGUUACUCGGAAUCACUGGGCUUAAAGGGCGCGUAGGUGGUUUGCCAAGUCGGGGUUGAAAUCUUUCGGCUUAACCGGAAAAGUGGCUUCGAUACUGGCAAGCUGGAGGGAGGUAGGGGCGGAUGGAACUUCCGGUGGAGCGGUGAAAUGUGUUGAUAUCGGAAGGAACGCCGGUGGCGAAAGCGAUCCGCUGGACCUCUUCUGACACUGAGGCGCGAAAGCCAGGGGAGCAAACGGG